CGCGGGAAUUCGAUUCAGGCCUAACACAUGCAACUCGAGCGGUAGAGAGAAGCUUGCUUCUCUUGAGAAAAACGAACGGGUGAGUAAUGCCUAGGGAUCUGCCUGGUAGUGGGGGAUAACGUUCGGAAACGGACGCUAAUACCGCAUACGUCCUACGGGAGAAAGCAGGGGACCUUCGGGCCUUGCGCUAUCAGAUGAGCCUAGGUCGGAUUAGCUAGUUGGUGAGGUAAUGGCUCACCAAGGCUACGAUCCGUAACUGGUCUGAGAGGAUGAUCAGUCACACUGGAACUGAGACACGGUCCAGACUCCUACGGGAGGCAGCAGUGGGGAAUAUUGGACAAUGGGCGAAAGCCUGA
rnacentral:rRNA from 1 species